rnacentral:rRNA from 1 species
UACGAAGGGGGGCUAGCGUUGUUCGGAUUUACUGGGCGUAAAGCGCACGUAGGCGGAUUGUUAAGUCAGGGGUGAAAUCCUGGAGCUCAACUCCAGAACUGCCUUUGAUACUGGCAAUCUUGAGUCCGGAAGAGGUGAGUGGAACUCCUAGUGUAGAGGUGGAAUUCGUAGAUAUUAGGAAGAACACCAGUGGCGAAGGCGGCUCACUGGUCCGGUACUGACGCUGAGGUGCGAAAGCGUGGGGAGCAACAGG